UACGGAGGAUGCGAGCGUUAUCCGGAUUUAUUGGGUUUAAAGGGUGCGCAGGCGGUCUGUUAAGUCAGCGGUCAAAGCCCGGGGCUCAACCCCGGGACUGCAUUGGAAACUGUCAGGCUAGAGUGUCGGAGAGGCAAGUGGAAUUCCGUGUGUAGCGGUGAAAUGCGUAGAUAUUAGGAGGAACACCAGUGGCGAAGGCGGCCUGCUGGACUGUAACUGACGUUGAGGCUCGAAAGCGUGGGGAGCAAACAGG
rnacentral:rRNA from 1 species